rnacentral:rRNA from 1 species
UACAGAGGGUGCAAGCGUUGCUCGGAUUUACUGGGCGUAAAGCGUACGCAGACGGCGAGAAGGGUCGGACGUGAAAGCCCCGGGCUCAACCCGGGAAAUGCGUCCGAAACCGCCUUGCUUGAGUAUGGGAGAGGGAAGCGGAAUUCCUAGUGUAGAGGUGAAAUUCGUAGAUAUUAGGAAGAACACCGGUGGCGAAGGCGGCCCACUGGUCCGGUACUGACGCUGAGGUGCGAAAGCGUGGGGAGCAAACAGG